UCCCCAACUGCAUGCCACAAGCUGCCCGAAGUUGACUGAUUGCACUGGUAAAAUCAGCGGGCCAUAGAUUAUUAGUUUGCAGUUCCUAAAAGCCAUUGCUGAAAGGAUGUGUAGCUGUCAUAUACAAAAACAAUGGGUAGACAGUCUCAAAGGGUAUGUCUUAUGAUAAAUAGUUUCAUGCCGCAGUAAAAUAAUGUGAUUUGUAGUAUUUAGUUUUAAAAUAUAUUUUUAUAAUGUGUAUGCUAAUCUUAAGGUAUUUAUCUAUGGGCCGCUAGUUGCCUGAAAUAAAUUAUGAUAGAUAGACGGAUAGAUGGGGUGUUCUAAGAGAAAGUCGCUUUGAAAAUGCUUUUGUCUUGUAUGGCAGAUUCCUCAAUCAACUGCGUAAAGCUCGAGAAAAUACUGCCGAAAGGCUAGGCUAGAUAAUAAGUUUUUAUAAAAGAAACGUCUUUAUGGGACCCAUAACAUUGAAGCAAUACAAAAGUUAGAAAUGAGAGUCAAAUCUGACAAUCGUUAUCUACGCACGAAACGCAACUUAUUAAAUGAUACUUGAUCGUGACGUCAUGAUUAAGUUAAUGCGUUUUAUUUGCAUUGCAUUUACAAAAAGAGGAGCUUUCGAGUUUCGAGGAUUAUGUUUUUAAAAUACGUGUAUAUUACGUAGGUUUGUUUGUAUUGAUUUUUUGAUUCUAGAAAUAAUAGUUGUAUAACCUUAAUAUGUAUGUAGGUAAGUACUAAGUACAUAAAAGGUACCGAAAUAGGUCAGAAGAGCAGUAAAUUCAAUAUUACUAUACAGUAUAUCCAAAAAGAGCGCUAUGAUAAGUAAAAGUUCCUUUUUAGGGUUCAGUACCCAAAGGGUAAAACGGGAGCCUAUUACUAAGACUCCGCUGUCAGUACGUCUAUCCGUCUGUCACCAGGCUGUAUCUCGUAAACCGUGAUAGUUAGUUGAUAUUUUCAAAGAUGAUGUAUUACUGUUGCCGCAAUAACAACAAAUACUAAAAACUACGGUACCCUAGAUGGGCGAGUCCGGCUCGCAUUUUGUCCGGUAUUAUUUAAAUAUAGGAGGCAAAUGAGGAAAGCCCAUGAACAGAGGUCGUACCUAUCAUAGGAUAAGUAGAUAUAUAUGUACAAAGAAACAGCGGUAUGUUAAGUAGAAGUAUUUUUUUUAAUAUAGGAGGCAAAUGAGCAGAGCCCAUGAACAGAGGUUGUAUCAUAGGAUAAGUAGAUAUGUACAAAGAAAUGGCACUAUGUUAAGUAGAUUUUUUUUUUAAUAUAUGAGGCAAACGAGCAGUGCCCACGAACAGAGCUCGUAUCAGAAGAUUUAUAGAGAUGUACAAAGGAAUGGCGUUAUGUUAAGUAGAAGUAUUUUUUUUUUAAUAUAGGAGGCAAACGAGCAGAACCCAUGAACAGAGCUCAUAUCAUAAGAUUUGUAGAGAUGUACAAAGGAAUGGCGUUAUGUUAAGUAGAAGUAUUUUUUUAAAUACAGGAGGCAAACGAGCAGAGCCCAUGAACAGAGGUCGUAUCUUAAGAUUUGUAGAUAUGUACAUAGAAAUGGCGCUAUGUUAAGUAGAAGUAUUUUUUUAAAUAUAGGAGGCAAAUGAGCAGAGCCCAUGAACAGAGGUUGUAUCAUAGGAUAAGUAGAUAUGUACAAAGAAAUGGCACUAUGUUAAGUAGAAUUUAUUUUUUUUAAUAUAGGAGGCAAACGAGCAGAGCCCACGAACAGAGCUCGUAUCAGAAGAUUUAUAGAGAUGUACAAAGGAAUGGCGUUAUGUUAACUAGAAGUAUUUUUUUAAUAUAGGAGGCAAACGAGCAGAACCCAUGAACAGAGCUCAUAUCAUAAGAUUUGUAGAGAUGUACAAAGGAAUGGCGUUAUGUUAAGUAGAAGUAUUUUUUAAAUACAGGAGGCAAACGAGCAGAGCCCAUGAACAGAGGUCGUAUCAUAAGAUUUGUAGAUAUGUACAUAGAAACGGCGCUAUGUUAAGUAGAAGUAUUUUUUUAAAUAUAGGAGGCAAAUGAGCAGAGCCCAUGAACAGAGGUUGUAUCAUAGGAUAAGUAGAUAUGUACAAAGAAAUAGCACUAUGUUAAGUAGAAUUUUUUUUUAUAUAGUGGGCAAACGAGCAGAGCCCACGAACAGAGCUCGUAUCAGAAGAUUUAAAGAGAUGUUCAAAAGAAUGGCGUUAUGUUAAGUAGAAGUAUUUUUUUUAAUAUAGGAGGCAAACGAGCAGAACCCAUGAACAGAGCUCAUAUCAUAAGAUUUGUAGAGAUGUACAAAGGAAUGGCGUUAUGUUAAGUAGAAGUAUUUUUUUUAAUAUAGGAGGCAAACGAACAGAGCCCACGAACAGAGCUCGUAUCAGAAGAUUUAUAGAGAUGUACAAAAGAAUGGCGUUAUGUUAAGUAGAAGUAUUUUUUUUAAUAUAGGAGGCAAACGAGCAGAACCCAUGAACAGAGCUCAUAUCAUAAGAUUUGUAGAGAUGUACAAAGGAAUGGCGUUAUGUUAAGUAGAAGUAUUUUUUUAAAUACAGGAGGCAAACGAGCAGAGCCCAUGAACAGAGCUCAUAUCAUAAGAUUUGUAGAGAUGUACAAAGGAAUGGCGUUAUGUUAAGUAGAAGUAUUUUUUUAAAUACAGGAGGCAAACGAGCAGAGCCCAUGAACAGAGGUCGUAUCAUAAGAUUUGUAGAUAUGUACAUAGAAAUGGCGCUAUGUUAAGUAGAAGUAUUUUUUAUAUAGUGGGCAAACGAGCAGAGCCCACGAACAGAGCUCGUAUCAGAAGAUUUAAAGAGAUGUACAAAGGAAUGGCGUUAUGUUAAGUAGAAGUAUUUUUUUUAAUAUAGGAGGCAAAUGAGCAGAGCCCAUGAACAGAGCUCAUAUCAUAAGAUUUGUAGAGAUGUACAAAGGAAUGGCGUUAUGUUAAGUAGAAGUAUUUUUUUAAAUACAGGAGGCAAACGAGCAAAGCCCAUGAACAGAGGUCGUAUCAUAAGAUUUGUAGAUAUGUACAUAGAAAUGGCGCUAUGUUAAGUAGAAGUAUUUUUUUAAAUAUAGGAGGCAAAUGAGCAGAGCCCAUGAACAGAGGUUGUAUCAUAGGAUAAGUAGAUAUGUACAAAGAAAUAGCACUAUGUUAAGUAGAAUUUUUUUUUAUAUAGUGGGCAAACGAGCAGAGCCCACGAACAGAGCUCGUAUCAGAAGAUUUAAAGAGAUGUACAAAGGAAUGGCGUUAUGUUAAGUAGAAGUAUUUUUUUUAAUAUAGGAGGCAAACGAGCAGAACCCAUGAACAGAGCUCAUAUCAUAAGAUUUGUAGAGAUGUACAAAGGAAUGGCGUUAUGUUAAGUAGAAGUAUUUUUUUAAAUACAGGAGGCAAACGAGCAGAGCCCAUGAACAGAGGUCGUAUCUUAAGAUUUGUAGAUAUGUACAUAGAAAUGGCGCUAUGUUAAGUAGAAGUAUUUUUUUAAAUAUAGGAGGCAUAUGAUCAGAGCCCAGGAACAGAGCUCGUAUCAGAAGAUUUAUAGAGAUGUACAAAGGAAUGGCGUUAUGUUAAGUAGAAGUAUUUUUUUUAAAUAUAGGAGGCAAACGAGCAGAACCCAUGAACAGAGCUCAUAUCAUAAGAUUUGUAGAGAUGUACAAAGGAAUGUAUGACCUCGUAAUUUAUUCACCUCGUAAAUUAUUUGCAGGUGACUAAAUAAACACCCUGUAUAUAUUUGUUGUUGUAUCAACAAAUCAAGCAUUUACAUUAAAAAAGUGAGUGACAUUUAAUUAAGUGGAACUGCUGACGAAGACCAGACGGAACACCUCAACUACGCGUAUUUCACGUUUGGCGAUAUCUUCUUCGUUGAGAUUGUUCUGCAAGUUAUUUUUUAAGCUUCAUUUUAGUCAAGAUCUAUUUCUGAUAAUGGAUCCCAGGAAUAAUGGAUGAAACUCUUCAAAUAUUUUACAUAAAGUAUAUUUUUAUAUUUGCAUUUAAACAGUGCUAUUUGGUGAAACGUGUUCAUGAAGAUUAGAAUAUAACUUCUCCUUGACAAGUAUUUUACGAGUUAGGGCUUAGGUAUAUUAUAUGGGCUUACCUAUGGGCUAUUGUUUUUCAUUCAAUAGUUUACAUAUGUGAAAGAGAAAGUAUAACAAUAUGCUUGUUAGACUAAAAUAGCUUUAGUUUUGUUAAUUUCAAAAACUUAGUAGGUGAUAAUUAUAACAUAGGUAUAGAAUCUUCAAAAAUAAAACAGUAGAUACAAAGCAGGUGUUAUUGGCCCGUCUUUAUAUAUAGAAAAUCGAUGGCAUGAUUCCUAGGAACAGAUCUUCGUAUGUGUUAUAGUUUCAAACUUUCCCAUACUGAACGAUCUAAAUAGGCCACCAUGUAUACCCUACGGAACAUUUUAUUUCGUUGGAUGAAUUUAGGGUGUAGGGGAGAAACUACCCAAUUAUGAGCUACUUACUGAAAACUAUCAUUAAUAGACAAUUGUAAGGAUAUUUAACAUUGCCAAAAUAAGGUUAAAGGUGCCCUCUAGUAGUACUUAGUCGAUAUUGUGAUACAAUGAAUGGUAUUAUAAACAUUUUUCUUUUUUCAUAUACUAUGGACAUUCCUCGAUGGCACCAAGCUGCAACUGGAAAGCGAUGAUCACACGGCAAAUAAAAUCGUGAAGACUGUAGCAGCCACGUCUAAGGAGGAUGAAUGUAUCCACAUUCAAUAUUUUUUAUUUAUUUUUUGUUUGAUAUGUAAAAAUGCACGUUAAGGUGGUUCGACUAGGUUACCCAAAGCUUAAACCUCACUAGAUGGCGCCACAAUUGCAAAUUUUGAGUUUUAAUUUUUUUGUGGAGUAGUCUUGGUAUUUCUAUUCUGUAAAUUAUGUUUAGCGCACUCUUUAAAUAAAUAUUGAACUAUUACAACAAA